rnacentral:rRNA from 1 species
UCAGCAGCCGCGGUAAUACAGAGGUGGCAAGCGUUGUUCGGAAUUACUGGGCGUAAAGGGCGCGUAGGCGGCCUUCUAAGUCAGACGUGAAAUCCCCCGGCUUAACCUGGGAACUGCGUCUGAUACUGGAAGGCUUGAGUGCGGGAGAGGGAUGUGGAAUUCCAGGUGUAGCGGUGAAAUGCGUAGAUAUCUGGAGGAACACCGGUGGCGAAGGCGGCAUCCUGGACCGACACUGACGCUGAGGCGCGAAAGCUAGGGUAGCAAACGGGAUUAGAUACCCCGGUAGUCCUAGCCCUAAACGAUGAGUGCUUGGUGUGGCGGGUAUCGAUCCCUGCCGUGCCGAAGCUAACGCAUUAAGCACUCCGCCUGGGGAGUACGGUCGCAAGGCUGAAACUUAAAGGAAUUGGCGGGGGAC